rnacentral:rRNA from 1 species
GGGCAAUACAACCGGCGCACGGGUGAGUAACGCGUACACAACAUACCAUAUACUGGAGUAUAGCUUUGGGAAACUGAAGGUAAUCCUCCCAUAACAUUGCGAGAGGGCAUCUGAUUGCAAUUAAAGUUUCGGCGGUAUAUGAUUGGUGUGCGUUUGAUUAGCUAGUUGGUAGGGUAACGGCCUACCAAGGCGACGAUCAAUAGCUGGCGUGAGAGCGCGACCAGCCACACUGGAACUGAGACACGGUCCAGACUCCUACGGGAGGCAGCAGUAGGGAAUAUUGGACAAUGGAGGAAACUCUGAUCCAGCCAUGCCGCGUGAUAGAUGAAGGCCCUCUGGGUUGUAAAUAUCUUUUAUCUGGGAAGAAACACUCCUAUUCUUAGGAACUUGACGGUACCAGAGGAAUAAGCACCGGCUAACUCCGUG